rnacentral:rRNA from 1 species
UACGUAGGGUGCAAGCGUUGUCCGGAAUUAUUGGGCGUAAAGAGCUCGUAGGCGGUAUGUCGCGUCUGCUGUGAAAACUCAGGGCUUAACCCUGAGCUUGCAGUGGGUACGGGCAGACUAGAGUGCGGUAGGGGAGACUGGAAUUCCUGGUGUAGCGGUGAAAUGCGCAGAUAUCAGGAGGAACACCGGUGGCGAAGGCGGGUCUCUGGGCCGUAACUGACGCUGAGGAGCGAAAGCAUGGGGAGCGAACAGG